UACGUAGGGUGCAAGCGUUGUCCGGAAUUAUUGGGCGUAAAGAGCUCGUAGGCGGUCUGUCGCGUCUGCUGUGAAAACUCAGGGCUUAACUCUGAGCUUGCAGUGGGUACGGGCAGACUAGAGGUAUGCAGGGGAGAACGGAAUUCCUGGUGUAGCGGUGAAAUGCGCAGAUAUCAGGAGGAACACCGGUGGCGAAGGCGGUUCUCUGGGCAUUACCUGACGCUGAGGAGCGAAAGUGUGGGGAGCGAACAGG
rnacentral:rRNA from 1 species